rnacentral:tRNA from 1 species
GGAGAGGUGGCUGAGUGGCCGAAAGCGACGGUUUGCUAAACCGUUGAGUGGGUUAAGACCUGCUCCGCGGGUUCGAAUCCCGCCCUCUCCGCCA